AACGUAGGAGACAAACGUUAUCCGGAGUUACUGGGCGUAAAGGGCGUGUAGGUGGUUUCGUAAGUCUGGCGUGAAAUUUGUCGGCUUAACCGGGAAAGGUCGUCGGAUACUGCGGAACUAGAGGACGGUAGAGGCGUGUGGAAUUCCGGGUGUAGUGGUGAAAUGCGUAGAGAUCCGGAGGAACACCAGUGGCGAAGGCGACACGCUGGGCCGUACCUGACACUGAUGCGCGACAGCAUGGGGAGCAAACAGG
rnacentral:rRNA from 1 species